CAAGUCGAACGAUGAAGGGGAGCUUGCUCCCUGGAUUAGUGGCGAACGGGUGAGUAACACGUGAGCAACCUGCCCCUAACUCCGGGAUAACGCUUCGAAAGGAGUGCUAAUACCGGAUACCAGCACGGAGGACAUCCUCUGUGCUUGAAAGUUUUCGGUUAGGGAUGGGCUCGCGGCCUAUCAGCUUGUUGGUGAGGUAAAAGCUCACCAAGGCGACGACGGGUAUCCGGCCUGAGAGGGCGACCGGACACACUGGGACUGAGACACGGCCCAGACUCC
rnacentral:rRNA from 1 species